UAUUUCUGGCUCUAUGUUUCCUAUUCCUUUCUACAUGUGCAGUAGGAGGAUACUUAUGAAGGUGAAUAUGAUAACAACGGCAUAACUGGAGGCCCAGUCGUUUAACCCAAUUACUUUCCAACCGCAACGUGUUAUAAGCAAAGCAAUCAGGUGGCGAACUCCAGUAAUGAGUUCGAUUUUAUGCCAAAUUUAGAGCUCAUUACUAUUUCCAAGGCGUGGCAAAGCUGUUAAAAGGACGCAACCAUGCAUUUAUGGCUUCAGAGCACACUGGCCAGUUAUAUGAUUAAUGUUGGAGCCUCCUUAAUGACGCGUUGGAUGUGAAACACUCAUGGUUAGGUUUGGAGAGAAGGAGGAUAGCAAGACUAGCAUGUCAAGCACACAGUAAAGGCCACAUAGUUUCCAGGGUUUAAUCGGUUUUAGUCAAUAACCGAGCCUCUCACUGUCCUCAAGGCUCAAACUCUUCCUUCCCACUUCCGCAGUUGAACGGCUCGCUGGCUCAUUGUUGGGUAGCGAUGCAUGGAUACAAUGUGAGAAUGCCAAGUGAGGUUGAAACAGUUCCCAUGUGUGAAGGAGGAAGAAAGCAUAACGAACCCAAUUGAAGAUGGAAAAGAAUAACCGAUAUAUAUUUUUGCUUUUGUCGGGAUAAAGGAAAUAUUGACAUUUCAUCAAUGCAUUUACGUCUACAUUAGUUUAAAUAUGUAGGCCUGGAGGAGGACAAUAUUGAACUGUUAGACUAAUAACAUAGGUCGAAAUCUGCAUACAUUUGUUACAGUUGAGAAAAAUGUAUGUCUUAGGUCAUUUCGAUUUUCAAAAUGGAAAACACGUUUUGUCAAUGCAUGAAUGCAACAAAUAAAACAUGCCUUUAUGGAUAAUUCUAUUGAAGACGAAAGGACAAAUUACAUUUUCAUUUUAUUUCCAAAUCUAAUUGUCACUUCAAGUGUAGGCUAUCGCUAGGUGUAUCCACUAAACAGAAACAGACAAAAAAACGUAUAUUCAUUUGGUGCAUACAACCUGGGUGAGAAUAUAAAUUAUUGCAACAAAAAUGCAAACGAUCUUAAACAUGAAUCCCUAAAUACCUGCUAUGCACCCACACCUUAGCGUUGAAGCAUAGCCAUCUAGGCAGGUUCGCCACAUAAGUCCUAAAAUAAGACAUUUAUACAUAUGUUUAGUAUCUGUACCAUCAUAUUCUACUGGGAAACGUUACAC
ensembl:lncRNA